ACUUUAGUCCAAUCUCCAAAUGCAUAAAGCGCAUCAUAUUCCUAUUCUUCUUUAUCCAUGUCAAGAUGAUCCAGCUUAAUCCAAUCCUAGCAUAGAGGAUAGAGAGGGCAGAGCUCUUGAAUUGUUUUUGUUUAUAUUUAUUUUGUGGUUAGGUGCCACUGUAACUCAUUUCCUGAACUGCCUCCUCUUGCGAAAUUGGAGCUCUGUGAUUUUCGCCUUCUGCUCGUGUUGGGAUUCGUUCAACGACUUCCGACUUUCAACCCGUGCAAACUAGAAGCACGUGCUUUAACUUGAACAUUGAAGAGAGUGUUGGGGGUUUAAAAAUGCUUCACUACUUGGAGAGGUUUAUCUCACAAAGAAAAAUGUAACGCAGCGGAAUUGAUAGGCAAGAGAAAGAAAGAAUUCUCAAAGUAUUACGCAAGGUUUUUAUUC